CCAAAAGAGAAAGAAUGGAAUUGAAUACUUAUUUCAGUGAGGGUCUAUUAAUAUUAUCCAGACUAAUGUACAAUAAAUAAAACCAUAUCUGAAUAUUUACACUAGUAGAUAAAAAGUAUUCAACGUUUAUUAAAUAUCCUAUUCUCUGUAAAAAUUAAAUACCACAGGUUAAAUGUUGUAUGGACUUGUACACUUGUAUCUUUCUAAGUCAGAUAAAUUAAAUGAAGUAACUUCAUUGUAUUACUUUAUGCUUUAUUUGAAGCAAAUGAAAACUGAGCAAAAUCCAGGGAUUUGCUGUUUUCAGAAUAUUGCUUGUAAAGCAAGUUUCACAGUAGAUGUCUAACUUUUAAAAGGUAGCAUGUUAUGCUCCUCACAUUUUUUUUAUGUUUUUCAUCUUGUAGCACUAAGGAAAAGCGUACAUGCUAGAGAAACACAGACUUUUGGACCUGAACAUAACUACAGUAUGGUAAAUGGGACAGGGCCUCAAGGUCUUUAGUCUUGAAAAUGCCUUGCUCGGUAUGUUUAUUCAACUGAAUUUUCGAUGGUAUUUCAUUUUAUAAUAAAAAAGGUCAUUCACUAAACAAAUAGACUGGGAUUACAACUUGCCAUUCUGUAAGUAUGCUUUUUGGCUUUUUUUUUUUUUUAAUGUUGAAUAGAAAUAGCCUAAUUUAAAAAAUAAAUAAUGGAAUGUAAACUCCACAAUAUUCUGGUUACUUUAUAAGUUUAAGCCUUCUUCCUCGCCCUCCAGGAAAGAAAUUUACUCUGGUAUGGUGCUCAGACUAGGAAACCUGAGAUUAGGUCACCCAAAUUUAUAAAGUAUAUGAAAUAAAGUAUUUUUUUAUUUUGCUAAAAGUUCAUAAUUUCCAAAUAUUCCUUUCUGAGUGGGAAAUUCUGUGUAUGUCCUGCAUGCUACCACAAAUGAACACCCAAGAAGAAGUUAAUAAUUUCCAAAGCAAUACAUUCAAAUACCUCUUGGGAUGUGUGUAAUGUGAUGACAAGGUGUAGAACAUUUGGACUCCAACUCCAGAGGUACCUACCCAUGUAACAGUCAUGGACUGACUCAAGAGGAUCUACCUCAAGAGAAUGCUGCUCCUGGGGGUCAGUUGCCUCAGACUGGUCAGUGUGGUGAUCAGUCUGGGUCAGACUGUGGACACUGAGGUGAAGCAUGGCCACCAGCAAGCACAGUGGGAGGAUGGCCUUCAUCAUUCUUCACAGAUACUGUGUGGACAAAGAACAAAAGGUCUUGGAUGCUGGAGAUGGGGUCUUUCUUGUGUGUAUCCCACAUCUGGUUAUGGGAAGGUGAGACCAUUAGUGUGGACUUGGCCUCUCCUGUCUUUCCAAGCUUCACAUCAGCAGGACAGCAUCCUUUUGUAAGGUAAAGAUGCCUAAGGCCAGAGUAGUGCUCAGUGCCAGUCUGAUCCAGUGAUCAGACUGGAUCAGGGCAUCUUGGGCAUUUGUAGUGACUGUGAUCACUUUUUGCCUUUGUUUGCUUACUGCUUUCUCUUUUACCAGCUCAACCAGGAACAUGCUAGGUUGAUUUGUGGUGUCUAAGAUGCUUAACCUGUCAGAAAACAAGUAAGAGCUAUUCCCAUUAAAAAUAUGGUACCAGUGACUAGAAAAGCUCCAAAUAGCCUUCACCUAAUGUCCUGCUUGAAGCAGAUCAGCUUCAGGCAGAAGAUCACAACUCUACCCCCCAGUCAGUGGUAAAGGCACUCAAAGACAUGAGUUCAGCAGAGCAGAUGAGAUGUUUACUGGGAUUCUCUCCACCCUGGGACAGCACUCUGACCACCAAGGUUUGGGUGAAAAGGAGCCAGCUUGUCUUUCUGCAGCUUUGCUCUGUGUGAUCUGGGUAAAUUGGAAUUUACAGAGGACAUCGGCAUAGCAAAAUCAGUUUGUGAAUUCUGUCUGGGUCAUCUUAGUGUAAGCAAGACAUUUACUCAUUCACUUCAGUUUUGAUUAUCUGAUUGUAAGCUUUAGGGGAAAUUAGUAAUGAUAAAUAAAAUUGACAGUUGAGAAGUCAGAAUACUUUCGUUAUUGAAGUAUAUUUUUUCUAGAUGUUUUUGAGCUAUUUGGGAUAAAUAUUCAGAGCAGUUAUACUAUGUGGAGCUGCUGUAAUGAAUCCCUAGAAUUUGCUAUUCAGUAUUUCUUGAAAUUAAGUUCAGCUGUCAUUUGAGUACUUAGAAACUAGGUUUCACCCUUGAAAGCAGAUGUGCUUUAUGACUCACUUAGCUAAAUACCAUACAGCUGGGUCAAAGUCAUUAAGAUAAAGAUAGCUGGU